rnacentral:lncRNA from 1 species
AUACCUUCAUCCUUUUGGUGAUGGUGAUCAUUGAAGUUAUUUGACUUAUUAUCAUCCUUUUGGUGAUAACAAGUUUUUUUGUUGGAUCUGACCCUCAUCCUUUUGGUGAGGUAAUCUUUGAAGUUAAUAAGUUAACUAUCAUCCUUUUGGUGGUAGUCUUGAUAUUAUACUUUCGGUAAUGGGAAACUUUAUCAGAAUAACCAUCAUCCUUUUGGUGACGGACAUCAUCCUUUUGGUGAUGGAAAUCUUUGGAUUGUG